rnacentral:rRNA from 1 species
UACGAAGGGGGCUAGCGUUGUUCGGAUUCAUUGGGCGUAAAGGGUGCGUAGGCGGCGCGGUAAGUCGGGUGUGAAAUCUCGGGGCUUAACUCCGAAACUGCAUUCGAUACUGCCGUGCUUGAGGACUGGAGAGGAGACUGGAAUUUACGGUGUAGUGGUGAAAUGCGUAGGUAUCGGGAGGAACACCAGUGGCGAAGGCGACUACCUGGCCUGUUCUUGACGCUGAGGCGCGAAAGCUAGGGGAGCAAACGGG